CCUGAUCCAGCCAUGCCGCGUGAUUGAUGACGGCCCUAGGGUUGUAAAGAUCUUUCAACAGUGAAGAUAAUGACGGUACCUGUAGAAGAAGCUCCGGCUAACUCCGUGCCAGCAGCCGCGGUAAUACGGAGGGAGCUAGCGUUGUUCGGAAUUACUGGGCGUAAAGCGCGCGUAGGCGGAUUAUUAAGUCAGAGGUGAAAUCCCGGGGCUCAACCCCGGAACUGCCUUUGAUACUGGUAGUCUAGAGGUCGAGAGAGGUGAGUGGAAUUCCGAGUGUAGAGGUGAAAUUCUUAAAUAUUCGGAGGAACACCAGUGGCGAAGGCGGCUCACUGGCUCGAUACUGACGCUGAGGUGCGAAAGUGUGGGUAGCAAACAGGAUUAGAUACCCUGGUAGUCCACACCGUAAACGAUGAAUGCUAGUCGUCGGGGGACUUGUCCUUUGGUGACGCCGCUAACACAUUAUGCAUUCCCCCUGGGGAGUACUGUCGCAACAUUAAAACACCAAAGAAGUGACGGAGGG
rnacentral:rRNA from 1 species